GACUAGUCAAUCAACACCGAUUGCUUGGUGACCAUAGCGAGCGUGAACCACCCGAUCCCAUCUCGAACUCGGAAGUGAAACCGUUUAGUGCCGAUGAUAGUGUGGAUUUA
rnacentral:rRNA from 1 species